rnacentral:piRNA from 1 species
CUAGAAAAGGACAGAUAAAG